CCCCUAGAUGUUCUGGGCCGCACGCGCGCUACACUGAACAGUUCAACAAGUCUUAACCUUGGCCGAUAGGUCUGGGUAAUCUUUGAACGCUGUUCGUGAUUGGGAUAGACCUUUGCAAUUAUGGGUCUUCAACGAGGAAUUCCUAGUAAGCGCAAGUCAUCAGCUUGCAUUGAUUACGUCCCUGCCCUUUGUACACACCGCCCGUCGCACCUACCGAUUGAAUGGUCCGGUGAAAUCUCGGGACGGCGGCUUGGUCGCUUGCGUCCGACUGCUGAAACUUGAUUAAACCAUAUCAUUUAGAGGAAGGUGAANUCGUANCA
rnacentral:rRNA from 1 species